CCCUCAGUGCACGUCCCUCCUCAGCAGAGUUAGGAGCUGGCAUUAUUUGGGUUUCGUUAACAAAGCGACCGUUAGGAGCUGCGUUAAUGAGGCAGUGAUGGGAAGCCCUCCAUGCGGGAGGGGUGGAACGCCCACAUUGAGGUUAAAUACACCUCAAUUAAAGAGCCCUUUUAGUUCCCAUUUCCAGACGAGCUGUCCCUCCGGCACUGCUCGGCCCAGCCCUGCUCUCUGUGCACUCCAAGUCCCCGGGCUUUGCUUUUUGUCUCCGUUCAUCGCCAGCUGCUGCCGGCUUUAAGCAGAGCCCCGCAGCGCUUCUCCCCGCUCCGUCGGGGUUUGGUGCUGUUUGUGGGGCUGCCCCACUCCUAAUGAGUUAUACACAUUUCUGUGUGCUUCCAGAAAUCAGCGGGACGCCGUCCUGAGAUUCGUGCAAGCGCUGCUGCGUGGAACCGCUGUUGGGGUCCCUCCCUGCGCAACAGAGCAUCUUUGUUGGAAGUGUUUGUCGGGCUGCACGCCCUGCAGUGCUCCGUAACUCCCAGCAUCCACGCGUUUCGGGUCGCCGAUGCUUUUUCAAUCGGAGAAAACCAAAAGGCAGCUCCGACUGGGAGGAGUCCCACAAAGGUCAGUGAUGCGGAGCCCUUGGCUUCGACGCAGCCACAAAGGUACGGUGUGAGUGGGGAUGCUGCUGGCCGCCCCGUGUUCUGUGCAGUUCUGUCCGUUCCUCGGUGGGAUUUCUGUCUGCAUCGCUCUCUCGUUCGAUUGACUCUUAGGCACAUGCAUGUCAGUUCUCGUCUGUGAUCUGUUUAUUUAAAACCGGAGUCGCUUCAGAAUGAUGAGGUUCCGAACUGGAGACUUUCACAGGGAGCUGUUGCUAAAUGCUACCUUCUCAGUUUUUUUUAACUACACGUGUAUAUAAGAGAUCUUGUUUAUUAGACUUGUAAGUAGACAUUUAAAAUGGCCUUAAUUUAAAACAACAACAACAAAAAACCAACAAAAAAAAAAAUCACAUCUGGAUGCAACCGUCCAAAUUCGGGACCACGUGGCUGAGAGGUGCGGGAUUUGUUCCUUCCUCCCGGGGGGGGUUGAGGUCACAGCACUGAGCAGCUCCGUGCUUUGCUCCGCUUCCUGCGGCGCCGCGCCGUGCAGAGGAGGGUCUGCCCACCCCCCCACCUCCCAGUCUGUAUUUCCACUGCGUGUGCAUGAAAAUAGCCCAUGGAAUCGUCAGAUGUAAACGCGGAGGGGAGCUGCGGUGUUUGGGGGGGAGCCUUUGUGGUUGAUGAGCCGCCAGUUCUGUUCUGACGUUAAAUGUGGGUGUGUUGGGAGCUGCUGCCCUCAGAUCAGACGUGUCAGAGUGGGAGGAAAGGUCGUGCAGCAAAAACCUGCUGCUGUCAUUUAUACCUUUUUCAGUUAAAUAACCACAGAGCUGCGUGGGGUCGGAGUUCCCAUCUGGACGUACCUUCUGAACGGGCCUGGCCCUCCCCGCACUGCGCUUUCGUAUGAAUAUAGAGAGCUCCCAAGCAGACUGUUGCAUUUGCCAAUACAAUGGGGAACCGCUAGGAAUGAACUUUCCAUUUAUAGAAUACUGUGAUUUUCAAAAGAAAUGCGGGUUUGUGCUGCUCCCCGCAGUGCAGGUGGGGGCCCUCGCUGUGCCUCGAGGCCGCGUUCUCACUGCGAUGGGUCCGCUCAGCUCCCCUCUGCUGUGUGUGGCUGCAGCACAGCCCCGUCCCUCACUCCGGCUUUGCAUGGCAGCGGCACUUCGCCCGCGCUCAGCCGCAAUCCCUUCUGUACAGAACGCCUUCCCUUCGGGUCCUGUUUUUCUUCUUGUAAAGAGGAGGGGGGAGAAAGGUUUCCAGAAAGAGGCUGUCCAUUCACUGAAGGAGGUUAUUGACCGUUUGUGCAUUUUAUUACCUUGAAAAAAACAAACAAAAGGGUUUCUAAGAAAGCAUUCCUGAGAACCACUCAGCAGAAGUGUUUGCGGACCGACCAGGAGAGCCGCCCUCUGCGUCCCGCUCUGCUCACCCGGAGCUGUUUGUGCCCCCAGAAGGGGAGCGGAUCCCCCCUGGGCCGGGAGGGCAGAGCCGGGCCGGGAGCACAGCAGGCAUUCCUCUGAGAAGCAGAACCCCCGCACUGUGAUGGCAGUGGGAGCGCAGGCAGCGCCUGUUCCGCGUCUGUGUUCUUUUUAAAAGAAAAACCCCAAAAACGGGGAAAAAAACCCCAGAUACUGAUGAUUUGUAGUGUUCCUGUUCUUUGUAAUUUCUAGUUGCAUCUUAUUUAUACUGCGCAGUGUAGGCAUGGAUUGCAUGUCGGUUUUCUAUGCGGGCACCACGAUGACAUGAUAACUGUGUACUAUAAAUCAUUUUUACCUUUUUAAACAGAACCAUUGUGUGGGAUUUCUAUACUGCAAAACGAAACACUACAUUAC
ensembl:lncRNA